rnacentral:rRNA from 1 species
CAGUCGCCGCGGUAAUACGGAGGGGGCUAGCGUUGUUCGGAAUUACUGGGCGUAAAGCGCACGUAGGCGGCUUGGUAAGUUAGAGGUGAAAGCCUGGAGCUCAACUCCAGAAUUGCCUUUAAGACUGCCGAGCUAGCAGGUGAGAGAGGUAAGUGGAAUUCCGAGUGUAGAGGUGAAAUUCGUAGAUAUUCGGAAGAACACCAGUGGCGAAGGCGGCUUACUGGCUCAUACUGGACGCUGAGGUGCGAAAGCGUGGGGAGCAAACAGGAUUAGAUACCCCUGUAGUCCCUGUCUCUUAUAC